GGCAACUUGGCCGAGCGGUCUAAGGCGCCACGUUAAGGAGAUAUCCUUAAUCUCGAUCUUCACAGAUUCCGUGGUCCGAAAGGGCGUGAGUUCGAAUCUCACAGUUGUCA
rnacentral:tRNA from 1 species